rnacentral:rRNA from 1 species
AGCGAACGCUGGCGGCAGGCCUAACACAUGCAAGUCGAACGAACUCUUCGGAGUUAGUGGCGGACGGGUGAGUAACACGUGGGAACGUGCCUUUUGGUUCGGAAUAACUCAGGGAAACUUGUGCUAAUACCGAAUGUGCCCUUCGGGGGAAAGAUUUAUCGCCAUUAGAGCGGCCCGCGUCUGAUUAGCUAGUUGGUGAGGUAACGGCUCACCAAGGCGACGAUCAGUAGCUGGUCUGAGAGGAUGACCAGCCACACUGGGACUGAGACACGGCCCAGACUCCUACGGGAGGCAGCAGUGGGGAAUCUUGCGCAAUGGGCGAAAGCCUGACGCAGCCAUGCCGCGUGAAUGAUGAAGGUCUUAGGAUUGUAAAAUUCUUUCACCGGGACGAUAAUGACGGUACCCGGAGAAGAAGCCCCGGCUAACUUCGUG